rnacentral:rRNA from 1 species
CCUACGGGGUGCAGCAGUCGGGAAUAUUGCACAAUGGAGGAAACUCUGAUGCAGUGACGCCGCGUGCAGGAAGAAGGUUUUCGGAUUGUAAACUGCUUUAGACAGGGAAGAAACAAGACAGUACCUGUAGAAUAAGCUCCGGCAAACUACGUGCCAGCAGCCGCGGUAAUACGUAGGGAGCAAGCGUUAUCCGGAUUUAUUGGGUGUAAAGGGUGCGUAGACGGGAAUUUAAGUUAGUUGUGAAAUCCCUCGGCUUAACUGAGGAACUGCAACUAAAACUGAAUUUAUUGAGGGCGGGAGAGGAAAGUGGAAUUCCUAGUGUAGCGGUGAAAUGAGUAGAUAUUAGGAGGAACACCAGUGGCGAAGGCGACUUUCUGGACCGUAACUGACGUUGAGGCACGAAAGUGUGGGGAGCAAACAGGAUUAGAUACCCCAGUAGUC